GGAUGCGAUCAUACCAGCACUAAAGCACCGGAUCCCAUCAGAACUCUGAAGUUAAGCGUGCUUGGGCGAGAGUAGUACUAGGAUGGGUCACCUCCUGGGAAGUCCUCGUGUUGCAUUCC
rnacentral:rRNA from 2 species